GUGGGGAAUAUUGGGCAAUGGGGGAAACCCUGACCCAGCGACGCCGCGUGGGUGAUGAAGGCCUUCGGGUCGUAAAGCCUUGUCAAGAGGAACGAACGACCUUGAGGCAAAUAGCCUCAAGGAGUGACGGUACCUCUGAAGGAAGCACCGGCCAACUCCGUGCCAGCAGCCGCGGUAAGACGGAGGGUGCAAGCGUUGCUCGGAAUUAUUGGGCGUAAAGGGUGCGUAGGCGGCUUUUUAAGUCUGACGUGAAAGCCCAGGGCUCAGCCUUGGAAGUGCGUCAGAAACUGGGAAGCUAGAGUACCGGAGGGGAGAGUGGAAUUCCUGGUGUAGCGGUGAAAUGCGUAGAUAUCAGGAGGAAUACCGGUGGCGAAAGCGACUCUCUGGACGGUAACUGACGCUGAGGCACGAAAGCGUGGGUAGCAAACAGGAUUAGAUACCCGUGUAGUCC
rnacentral:rRNA from 1 species